rnacentral:rRNA from 1 species
GUACACGCUGUGACUAGCAUAUCAAUAAGCGGAGGAAAAGAAACUAACAAGGAUUCCCCUAGUAACGGCGUGUGAAGCGGGAAGAGCUCAAAUUUGAAAUCUUAAAGGGUUUCCCUUUACGAAUUGUAGUUUAAAGAAGUGUUUUCUGUUGAGGUUUUGGUAAAAGUUCUUUGGAAUAGGACAUCAUAGAGGGUGAGAAUCCCGUAUUUGACCUUUACUUUCAACUUUGUGAUACACUUUCAAAGAGUCGGAUUGUUUGGGAAUGCAGUCCAAAAUGGGUGGUAAAUUUCAUCUAAAGCUAAAUAUUGGCGAGAGACCGAUAGCGAACAAGUACCGUGAGGGAAAGAUGAAAAGAACUUUGAAAAGAGAGUUAAACAGUACGUGAAAUUGUCAAAAGGGAAGCGUUUGACACCAGUGUUGUUUUUCUGAAAAUCAAUUAAAGAACUGUUUAUGCUAAGCUGUUUAGACUUUAUCAGCUAUCUGUUUAGUUUUGAGCUUUUCUUUAAUGCACUUUUCAGUUAACAAGUCAACAUCAAUUUCUUUUGCUGUAAAAAAGCUUGAGGAAGGUGGCUUGGAGAUUCGUCUUAAGUGUUUAUAGCCUAUUGCCUAUGCAGUCGGAGAGAUUGAGGUCUGCAGCGUAGAUCCUUCGGGGCUAAAUGCAUUUGUGCUAAGUUAUAGCAUUUUAUAGACAACUUGUUGACUAUGAUUUGUCUUGUAGCUUACUCGCUUAUGUUAUUUUACCUACGCUUAGGAUGUUGACGAGACUGUCGAUCUC